rnacentral:sRNA from 1 species
AAAUCUCAUCAGAUGCAGGCUGUGCUUUCUGCUACAGAAACUCACCGCCUAAGCCAGGCCGCUUCCCUGGACUUGAUGUCCUCGCCUGGUGACACGAGCUAGACUUUGGGCUCCUUGAGGAUAUUCAGUUUUGUAUGUUUGAAUAUCCUCUCACCAUGUUCAGCAUAAAGUACCAUUCUUAAUGAUUAUCCUCAACAAGACAGGUGUGAGAGGGUUGCUGUUGUAUUGCAAUCAUGGUGCAGAAAUACCAGUCCCCAGUGAGGGUGUACAAAUACCCCUUUGAAUUAAUUAUGGCUGCCUAUGAAAGGAGGUUCCCUACAUGUCCCUUGAUUCCGAUGUUCGUGGGCAGUGACACUAUGAAUGAAUUCAAGAGCGAAGAUGGGGCUAUUCAUGUCAUUGAAAGGCGCUGCAAGCUGGAUGUAGAUGCACCCAGACUGCUGAAGAAGGAGUUGAUUAUGUUUAUUUUGUCCAGAAAAACUCACUGAAUUCUCGGGAACGUACUUUGCACAUUGAGGCUUAUAAUGAAACGUUUUCCAAUCGGGUCAUCAUUAAUGAGCAUUGCUGCU